rnacentral:tRNA from 1 species
AGGCGGUUAUUUAAAUUAAAAUAUUUGAUUUCGGCUCAAAAGAUCGCAGUUAAAGUCCGCGACCGCUCA